AAACAAUGGUCGAUUCUUGGCCCUUCCCCCAUUGUGGGUACGUGCCAUGUUUUGAAGGCACGACAACAAUAAGAUGGCGUCUGCAGUGAAAAGCUCACAGGAGGAGUCGACAACAACGAGUUCGUCAACUACGACGCCGGAAGGCAGUGUCGAACAUAGGAGUGUCAGCGGUGCUGCCGCUGUCACCAGCGACCGGCAGCAGUGGACAGGAGACGAGGCUGAACGCGAGGUAGUCAUACCGAGUGGGGCUGGUACCGGUGCCGCCAUUACGCCUGACCAAACGAGGCCUGCCCUUGCAGCUGUACAACCCCUUCAAGAGCUGCAGCCCGUUCCUGCAUCGGUGAAAAGCACCAAUGCGAGCGGUCGCGACGUCGGCGCCGAGGAAGUGGAGCUCGAGGAACGCAGAAUCUUCGGCGUGUCGCCGGCCACGUACGCGCUGAUCUCGGCGAUCCUCGUAAUUGUGGCGGCGGUCCUCACGUACGCCAUUGCCGUGUCCAGCUUGCGACGGCGUCCCACGGAGGCCGGGGCCGCCGCCGCUCGAUCGGCGAAUGACUCGGCUCCCGUGUUCGCGUUUAUUUAACGUCCACCGAACACGGCGGGACGUUAUUCUCAAGAUUCAGCCUAGGAAAUGUGGUGCAGUAAAACUAGAUGGAAACCCUACCAUGUUAUUUGACACUCUUCGAUCAUUUUUCUGAUGCCACUUGAAGACGAACUAACGGCGAAAUUAACCUGAGCUGUACUAGUAAUAUGCCCAUCGGGAAUAUUUAAAAGGAGAAACUACCCUUACCUUGAAGAGCAGCCGUAGCAUUCCAGGAAAGAAGAACGAAGACGGUUGACUUUCAGGUUCCCGCACCAACGUGACGUGACGUCAUAAUUUUUUUACUUUAUAAACGACGCCUGCUCGGGCCUCAAAGAUAUUGUAAUAAUAAUGAACUACAUUGUCCCACAGACAACAAACAUGAGAUGUUUCAAGAACUUUUACUGAGCUAGAACAAUUGAAAUACGAAAUUAUGCAUUGAAAUGUAUUAUGUCACACUAAGUUAUCAGAGCUGUUGGAAGUUUAGGCACGAAAUACGAAAAAAAUCACACCUUA